rnacentral:rRNA from 1 species
AACGAACGCUGGCGGCGUGCUUAACACAUGCAAGUCGAACGCGAAAGGGACUUCGGCCCCGAGUAGAGUGGCGCACGGGUGAGUAACGCGUAAGUAAUCUACCCCUGUAUCUGGAAUAACCCACCGAAAGGUAAGCUAAUACCGGAUACGUUCAUCUGGAUGCGGAUGAGGAUAAAGAAAGGUGGCCUCAUCAUGAAAGCUACUGUACAGGGAUGAGCUUGCGGACCAUUAGCUAGUUGGUAGGGUAAUGGCCUACCAAGGCGACGAUGGUUAGAGGGUCUGGAGAGAUGAACCGCCACACUGGAACUGGAACACGGACCAGACUCCUAAGGGAGGCAGCAGGGAGGAAUACUGCGCAAUGGGGGCAACGCUGACGCAGCGACGCCGCGUGGAUGAUGAAGGCCCUUGGGUCGUAAAAUCCUGUCAGAUGGAAAGAAAUGUACAGGUGUUAAUAUCGCCUGUAUUUGACGGUACCAUCAAAGGAAGCACCGGCUAACUCCGUGCCAGCCGCCGCAGUAAAAC